AGUAAAGAGAAACAUUGUUUCCAGGAAAACUCCACAGGGCACCUUUUCAGUCAGCUUUUGACUCACUCUCAACUGCAGAUGAAAUUGUGCCAGAGCUCUACCUGGACUUUAACUUGUCAGUCCUUCACAUCAGCGUGUAUUAACCCACUGAUAACAUACUCAGCCUGAAAAACAAACAGCUGCUCAAAGUUCAAACAAAACAACUCAGAUUUGGAAGACAUUUGACUAUAAAGAGACACUCAGCAGCAGCUGUGGGAACAUUUGAUCCAGCAGAGAAUCAAUCAUGAGGAGUCUGGUGUUUCUGCUCUUGGUGGCAUUGGCCAGCGCUAAGGUGUACGAACGCUGUGAAUGGGCCCGAGAGCUGAAGAACCAUGGGAUGGACGGCUAUUAUGGCUACAGCCUGGCCAACUGGGUUUGCCUGACCAAUUGGGAGUCGCACUACAACACCCAAGCUGUCAACCACAACACUGAUGGAUCUACCGAUUACGGCAUCUUCCAGAUCAACAGCCGAUGGUGGUGUAGCGACGGCCGAACGCCCACUUCAAAUGGAUGCGGAAUCCAGUGCAGCUAUCUUCUGACUGAUGAUGUCAGUGUGGCAAUUAACUGUGCCAAAACAAUUGUUAGAGAUCCCAGAAGAAUUGGAGCCUGGGUGGCCUGGGUCCGUCACUGUAAGAACCAAGACCUGAGCUCCUAUCUGUCAGGAUGUCGUCUCUAAUCACACUGUUGAACCAGGACACUGUCAUUGACGGCCCAUCUUUGCAUGCUGUGGAAGUCGUGUUGUUUUCCAGAAGAGGAGGGACGAACCAGUCAUGCUCAGAAAGGCUAUCUGCAGAGAUAAGGGAGUUGUUUAGGGAGUUAGACAAAGACUUCAUCGAGCAAGAACGGCUUCGGUUGUCGUAGCAGUGGGAGUAUGAAGAGUGGGUAUGGAGACAGGCGUGGGUGGAGAAGGCACAGGGAAUGGCUAUUCUUCAGGACAUGACUUCUCUACUCUGACAACUGGUCCGGCGGAUGCCUGCCACGCAGCCUCAAUACCCUCACUCAGCAUAUGCCUCCUGGAGUAAAGACCCAUGGUACCCCCAUGACCAGAGUCAGGGCCCCAAUAUCACCUCUGAAAGACUUCUUACUUCUAAUUGCAAUAUUUUUCAUACACAUUGUUAAACUUUCUAUUCUUAAUAUUUACAGACAAAUGAAUUCAAUCCUUUGUGAUGGUCAGUUCAAUUUUACACCAGUUGGGCGUUGUUUAUAAACCAACACUACUGUGAUUUGUAGUGGUGGUCUCACACACUAUUUGUGUAUGAUUAUAUUUUAAAACUUCCUAUUUUAUAUUGUUAUCUAAGUAUAUUUCAUUUUGGUAUUUAGACCAAAAAAGGACAAUAUUGUUAUUGUGACUAAUCGGUGGUUGGUGUAUGAGUCAUAUGUGUACAUACACAUAUUGCAAAAUGAGACAUGUAUACUACAGUGUUUCUCAAUUCCGGUCUUGGGGACCUCCUACCCUGCAUGUUUUAGGUGUUUCCCUGCUCCAACACAACUGAUUCAAAUGAACAUGCAGGGCAAGUUGUCCCCAGGACCAGAAUUGAAAAACGCUGAGCUUGGACACCAUUCAACAGAAAAGGGUCGGCAACCGCUAUUAGUGUACACUGAAGGAACUUUAUUUAACCCUUUCACACAUAGUGGUCACUACAGUAGACAACUAUUCAAAAACAAAUUUCUUGUACAUGCCAGGAUUUGGAUCCAGGCUGCAUAUCACUCACUACAGUGGACAGUCCUGGAAAACACUAGUUGCAAGCAAAUGUAAGUGCAGCUAAAAAUCCCAGCAUAAGAGAUCAAGAUCAAAUCCUCAAAUCUGAGAAGCUGCAACCUGCAAAAUGUAGGCAUUUUUGCGUGAAAAUUGACUUCAUUAAUUAUCGAUUAAUCGCUUAUCAGAUAGUUGACUAACUUUUUUUGAUCAACUAACUGGAUAAUGGACUAAUCACUGCAGCUCUAGAUAAUAUUUUUAUUUCCUGUUUUUUAGGGAAAUUAAUUUAAGUAAUGUUUAAAAAACAACCAUCAGAGCUAAACCCUACAAAGAACGAGUAUCCUCACAAUUCAAUACACUGUAGUUUGGGUUGUUCUUCCCGUAGACAAGAGCAGUAUAUGUUAAAAUAAUAUUUGUUUUACAGUGAUAAACAUUUCAUAUCCACAGUUUUCA